GAUGAACGCUGGCGGCGUGCCUAACACAUGCAAGUCGAACGGAGAUUACGGACGGAAGUUUUCGGAUGGAAGUCUGUAAUUCUUAGUGGCGGACGGGUGAGUAACGCGUGGGCAACCUGCCCUAUACAGGGGGAUAGCAGCUGGAAACGGCUGGUAAGACCGCAUAAGUCGGUUAAAUCGCAUGAUUUGAUCGGGAAAUGAGCAAUCAGGUAUAGGAUGGGCCCGCGUCCGAUUAGCCAGUUGGCAGGGUAAAAGCCUACCAAAGCGACGAUCGGUAGCCGGACUGAGAGGUCGGACGGCCACAUUGGGACUGAGACACGGCCCAAACUCCUACGGGAGGCAGCAGUGGGGGAUAUUGCACAAUGGAGGAAACUCUGAUGCAGCGACGCCGCGUGAGUGAAGAAGUAUUUCGGUAUGUAAAGCUCUAUCAGCAGGGAAGAUGAUGACGGUACCUGACUAAGAAGCCCCGGCUAACUACGUG
rnacentral:rRNA from 1 species